AGUGAACGCUGGCGGUAGGCCUAACACAUGCAAGUCGAACGGCAGCACAGUAAGAGCUUGCUCUUACGGGUGGCGAGUGGCGGACGGGUGAGGAAUACAUCGGAAUCUACUUUUUCGUGGGGGAUAACGUAGGGAAACUUACGCUAAUACCGCAUACGACCUACGGGUGAAAGCAGGGGAUCUUCGGACCUUGCGCGAUUGAAUGAGCCGAUGUCGGAUUAGCUAGUUGGCGGGGUAAAGGCCCACCAAGGCGACGAUCCGUAGCUGGUCUGAGAGGAUGAUCAGCCACACUGGAACUGAGACACGGUCCAGACUCCUACGGGAGGCAGCAGUGGGGAAUAUUGGACAAUGGGUGCAAGCCUGAUCCAGCCAUACCGCGUGGGUGAAGAAGGCCUUCGGGUUGUAAAGCCCUUUUGUUGGGAAAGAAAAGCAGCAGGUUAAUACCCCGCUGUUCUGACGGUACCCAAAGAAUAAGCAUCGGCUAACUUCGUG
rnacentral:rRNA from 1 species